UGGGUCCUCCUCUACCUCUUGGAGAUGCCACCUUCCACAAAAACUCCUGGACAUGGUCAGAGGAGGAAGGAUUCCCAACUGAAGGACGGGGCAGGCAGAAGGGAAAAUGGAAGAGCCAUCAAGGAAACGGCACAGCAAACAUAGGUAUUCCCUAACAAUGAAUUUGGGAGCCUUUGUUCUAUGCAAAGUCAACCAUCUACUGUAUGCCUUAAGUCAUCUACAUGCACAGGCUCUGAGUACACAGAAUUUCUUACGGUGUGUCAGAUUUUAUGAGACUGAGCAUCUCUUCAGUAACGAGAGAAGAAAAUGGAACAAGACGUGGCAGGAGAUUAUACUUGUCAAGUGGAGGAAAUAGCACAACUGCCUGCCAUAAAGCCAGCUCAGCCCCACGACCGCCUGUAUGGCUCGAAGAGACAACUUAGGCCAAUAGUACUUGAACUGGUGAUGUACAGGAAAGACUCAAUUAAUCUUCGGAGCAGAAGAAGGUCUAAGAAAAAAUUUCUGUGUUUUUUUUUGGUCUUGUCUCACUUUUCCUCCCUGCUCUGUACUACCAACCUUCUCACAGAUUCCCCUCCUCAGAAGCAGCUCUGAGUUGGGUUGCUGAGAGCCACGUGGACUGCAGGAGAGAACAGAACACAUCACUUUGGCAGUGGUGGAUUUCCUAAGGUAUUGAAAAAAGUGAUCUUUUUAGGGGGAAUAGACACAAUGAAAAUGGGAAGUGAGGUGGAGGUUGGGAGGUAGCGUUUAGGUCAUGCUAGAGAUGAAAAUACAUGUAGUAUAUUCACAUCAAUGACCAUAAGGAGGGGCCUAAAUUAUUCAAGAGAAAAGCUCAGUUUUAAAAUGUUUGAGAAUUGAUGAGAGGAAAAGCAUUUAAAGGAAAUGAGUAUAUAUGCAAAGGCUGCCUUUGAUCAAGAGAGCAGGCAACUACACAACACUAAGACAAGGAGUUCUGCUCAGCCUCACACCCAACCACAGGCGCGUUUCAUGGAAGUGCAGCACCAUCAGAAGCAUGCACAAAAAUUAGAGUUGUGCUGAUUUUUCAGUGGUGUAACCAACAACUGAAUCCAGCCAAAUUUACCCAGUUCUGUCAGCUAUCUUCAACAGCUACUUAUGGGAAUGAUACUUACUUCUUUUCCUCAAAUAUAUUCACUCAAACCGUUUCAGAGUGGGAAGGAACACCCCUAAAUCAUAUUGUUGAAGACAAAGGACUAAUAACAACUGAAAUGGAGGAAACCCUAACUUACCUACUGGCUUUGAUAUUACACCUCACUCUGAAGUGGACAAGAAAUCUAAAGGAUGAAAGACCUGAAUCA